CGGUAAUUCCAGCUCCAAUAGCGUAUACUAAAGUUGUUGCAGUUAAAAAGCUCGUAGUUGGAUUUCUGCGGGGACGGAGCGGCCGGUCGCAACUUGCGACUCGAGCUAACGCUUUCCCCGCAUCCUGCCGCGAACCGUGCUACCAUUAGUUUGGUGGCGCUGGGGAUCGGCUCGAUUACUUUGAGAAAAAUAGAGUGUUCAAAGCAGGCCACAUGCCUUGAAUAAGUUAGCAUGGAAUAAUGACUAAGGACUUUGGUUCUUUUCGUUGGUGUUCGGGACUGAAGUAAUGAUUGAUAGGGACAGUUAGGGCGGUCCGUAUUCCAAAGCGAGAGGUGAAAUUCUUAGACCUUCGGAAGACGAACAGCUGCGAAAGCGUUCCGCAAGGAUGUUCCCUUUGAUCAAGAACGAAAGUUGGGGGAUCGAAGACGAUCAGAUACCGUCGUAGUCUCAACUAUAAACUAUACCAGCUAGGGAUCGGCCAACGUUUAAUUAUUCGACUUGGUCGGCACCUUAUGAGAAAUCAAAGCAUCUGGGUUCCGGGGGGAGUAUGGUCGCAAGGCUGAAACUUAAAGGAAUUGACGGAAGGGCACCACCAGCCGUGGAGCCUGUGGCUUAAUUUGACUCAACACGGGAAAACUUACCAGGUCCGGACAUAGUAAGGAUUGACAGAUUGAUAGCUCUUUCUUGAUUCUGUGGGUGGUGGUGCAUGGCCGUUUUUAGUCGGUGGAUGUGAUCUGUCUGCUUAAUUGCGUUAACGGACGAGACCCCAGCCUGCUAAAUAGCGCGGCCGAGCUUUGCUCGGUGCGAGCUUCUUAGAGGGACCAUGAUGCGCGAUAGCACAAGGAAGUUUGGGGCAACAACAGGCCUGUGAUGCCCUUAGAUGUUCUGGGCCGCACACGGGCUACACUGGCGCCUGCAACGAGCAUAUCAGCUGGCCCGAGAGGGUCUUGGCUAAUCUUUGGGACCGGCGCCGUGCUUGGGAUUGACCAUUGCAAUUGUUGGUCAUGCAACGAGGAAUGCCUUGUAAACGCGAGUCAUCAGCUCGCAUUGAAUACGUCCCUGCCCUUUGUACACACCGCCCGUCGCUCCUACCGAUGAAUGUUCCGAUGAAAUUUUCGGAGAGCACCAGAGAACGGGGCUCUGCCUUGCAGAUCUGGAGGCUCAAAGUCACUUAAAUCUGAACAUUUCGAGGAAGGAGAAGUCGUAACAAGGUAGCCG
rnacentral:rRNA from 1 species